UUGACGGGGCCCGCACAAGCGGCGGAGCAUGCGGAUUAAUUCGAUGCAACGCGAAGAACCUUACCAAGGCUUGACAUACACCGGUAACGCCCAGAGAUGGGUGCCCCUUUGUGGUCGGUGUACAGGUGGUGCAUGGUUGUCGUCAGCUCGUGUCGUGAGAUGUUGGGUUAAGUCCCGCAACGAGCGCAACCCUCGUCCUAUGUUGCCAGCGGGUCAUGCCGGGGACUCAUGGGAGACUGCCGGGGUCAACUCGGAGGAAGGUGGGGAUGACGUCAAAUCAUCAUGCCCCUUAUGUCUUGGGCUUCACGCAUGCUACAAUGGCCGGUACAAAGGGCUGCGAUACCGCGAGGUGGAGCGAAUCCCAGAAAGCCGGUCUCAGUUCGGAUUGGGGUCUGCAACUCGACCCCAUGAAGUCGGAGUCGCUAGUAAUCGCAGAUCAGCAACGCUGCGGUGAAUACGUUCCCGGGCCUU
rnacentral:rRNA from 1 species